GACGAACGCUGGCGGCGUGCUUAACACAUGCAAGUCGAACGAAGAGCGACGGAAGCUUGCUUCUAUCAAUCUUAGUGGCGAACGGGUGAGUAACGCGUAAUCAACCUGCCCUUCAGAGGGGGACAACAGUUGGAAACGACUGCUAAUACCGCAUACGAUCUAACCUCGGCAUCGAGGAUAGAUGAACGGUGGCCUCUACAUGUAAGCUAUCACUGAAGGAGGGGAUUGCGUCUGAUUAGCUAGUUGGAGGGGUAACGGCCCACCAAGGCGAUGAUCAGUAGCCGGUCUGAGAGGAUGAACGGCCACAUUGGGACUGAGACACGGCCCAGACUCCCACGGGAGGCAGCAGUGGGGAAUCUUCCGCAAUGGACGAAAGUCUGACGGGGCAACGCCGCGUGAGUGAUGACGGCCUUCCGGUUGUAAAGCUCUGUUAAUCGGGACGAAAGGCCUUCUUGCGAAUAGUGAGAAGGAUUGACGGUACCGGAAUAGAAAGCCACGGCUAACUACGUG
rnacentral:rRNA from 1 species